GCGGAUCCUUCGAUCCGUUGGGAUGUAACCUUUAAGGUUGAACCUCAAA
rnacentral:ncRNA from 1 species